rnacentral:lncRNA from 1 species
UGUAACGCCCCAAAAUUAUGCAAAUUAAUUAUGUUACUUAAGAUGUCUAGUCAUGUAUUAUUUUACCUAGUUAAGUAUGUAUAUGUUAGUAACUUGAUUAGAAGGAAGGUUAUAUGACAAAUAAAAUAUCUAAGUAAAUAGGAGGACUAAACUUGUUAAAAGGUUGAAAGUUUAAUAAAUAAAAGAAAAAAAAUAAAAUAAAAACACACACCCUGGUGUGAUGGCGUGGAUCGAUCAGAGCAAAGGGGGGAGAAGACAAACCCUAACUUCAUGAAAUUCUCAAGAAUUGAAAGAGAUUAGGAGCCCAAACUAAUGCAUGAACUCGAAACCUCAAUCAUCUAAGCUUGUACAACAAGCGGAACGUGUCAAGGAGAGGUCAAGCAUAGGAGGAUAACGGGUCAAGAUAAGGCAAGAUGACAAAUACACUUAUUGGAGUACUCGAGGUAAGUGAAUUUCGAUUCACUUUUUAGUAGGUUUAAU